ensembl:lncRNA uncharacterized LOC107211524
AUGCGGUGCGACGGGCGGCCCUGGGGUGUGCUGGCAGCUGUCGCCAAAGGGCUCCUAAUCCUCUGGGCAGUGCCGGGCCAGGGGGGAAGGUCCCCACUGGCCCCCACCGUGCAGCAGACCCAGGCGCUGGUGAGGCUCAUGGCCGAGGAUGCGCUGGAGCUCUUCACUUUCUACGAGAAGGAGCAGCACCUGGCCAUCCACAACAUCUGCCGCACCAGCAACACCCCCGAGUGGCUGCAGAGGCCGGCCAAGGGGCCCUGGGGGCUGCGAAGGCUGCGGAGACCCAUGAUCCACAUGGACCAGGCGCUGCAGGACAUCAUCCGGCACCAGCGCAACCUCUACCACCCCGAGGCCGAAAUCCUUCGCCGCUUAAGCAGGACCCACCGAAAGGUGCGAGCUCUCCUCAACAACCUGGCGGGGCUCUUCCCGGCCUCCAGCCCCCGGCCCGGCCGCCGGCCCCUCCCCAGCCCCGCGGCAUCCCUCAGCAUCUUCCGACAGAAGCUGCAGGGCUGCCAGAUCCUCUGGAGCUACGCCCACUUCAUGGCCGAGCGCAGCGCCGAGCUGGAGGCCGGGAGCCGCCGGACGCGCCGGGAGAAGGGGAGACCGCGCCGGGGCUCGGGGCUGCCUGCACACCCCUAGGGCAGCCCUGCCGGCACCGGAGUUCCCGUCUGCAUCUCCAUCAUCUCCAUCAUCUCCAUCAUCUCCAUCAUCUCCAUCAUCUCCAUCAUCUCCAUCAUCUCCAUCAUCUCCAUCAUCUCCAUCCCAUGUGACGCGAUCCCAGCCCCAUUCCCAGGAUGGAGAUGCCAGGAUGGCCGGGGAGCACCACGGAGCCCCCUCACGGCACCGACCCUGCGCUCCCCGUGCCAGCACUCGGCUGCAGGACAGCCCUGCUUGGCUCUCGCACAUCCUGCCCCACUUUCAUUGGAUCCAGGUAGCCCCAGUGGAGCCGGGUGUCCCCCGGGUGCGCGGCUGUUCCCUGUCCCCGAGCCCUGCCGGAUUUUCCAGUGAUUCAAUGGGUCGGGUGACACAGCCUGACUAAGAGCUGCUCGCCCAGCACCCCCCACCGGGCCCACGGAGAGCGCUGCUGCCACCGGCGACUGUCACCGGUGUUGUCACCCCUGUCUGCCCUGCGCCAGCUCCGCUCCCAGAGAGCAGCUGGCGUGUCCUGUGUCCCUGCACGGUCUGUGUCCCUCUGUGCUCGGUGUCCCCAAGCUCAGUGUCCCUUUGCACAUCCCUGUCCUCAUCCCUGCUCGGUGUCUCUGUGCUCUCAGUGUCCCCCGGGAGGGCGCUGGCUGUUCCCAUCCUCCCAGCAUCCCUGUCCCCUCCGUGUCCCCCCUGAGCCUCCCAGGCCGUGACACCACAGCCCAGCACUGUGACAGUGGGUGACAGCCCCCAAUGCCUCCCCUCUAAUUUAUACAUUAAUAUUUUGUGUUUACUGUAUUUAUUGAUUGUUAGGGUUAAUUUAACUCCCGCAGCUUGCAGAAGUAUUUAAGGACAUUUCUAAUAUAUAAAUAUCUAUUUUUAUUAUAUUUUUGUAUGGUGUUAAACUAUGAACAACACAAGAAUUUAUUUUUGUAUAUUGGUAUUUUUGGUACACAUAGAAGGGCAGUGCCCUCACCCACGUAACAUUUCUUUAUUUUUGUACAAUGGCAAAAGGAAAUAAAAUGCUGACUUUGGCCCA